GCCGAUGUGUCGGAAUGGUAGACGAGAUGGUCUCAAAAACCAUUACAGUUUUCUGUGUGUGGGUUCGAGUCCCACCAUCGGUACCA
rnacentral:tRNA from 1 species